AGCAGUGUGGCUCAGUGGAGCGAGCAUGGGCCUGGAGGGUUAGAGGUCACAGGUUCGAAUCCUGACUCUGCCA
rnacentral:tRNA from 1 species